UACAGAGGGUGCAAGCGUUAUUCGGAAUUACUGGGCGUAAAGCGCGUGUAGGCGGUUUGAUAAGUCCGAUGUGAAAGCCCUGGACUCAAUCCAGGAAGUGCAUUGGAUACUGUCAAACUAGAGUACAGGAGGGGAGAGUGGAAUUCCUGGUGUAGAGGUGAAAUGCGUAGAUAUCGUGAGGAACACCAGAGGCGAAAGCGAGUUACUGGACAGAUUCUGACGCUGAAGGCACGAAAGCUAGGGGAGCAAACGGG
rnacentral:rRNA from 1 species